rnacentral:rRNA from 1 species
UACGUAGGGUGCGAGCGUUGUCCGGAAUUAUUGGGCGUAAAGGGCUCGUAGGCGGUUUGUCACGUCGGGAGUGAAAACACCGGGCUUAACUCGGUGCUUGCUUCCGAUACGGGCAGACUAGAGGCAUGCAGGGGAGAACGGAAUUCCUGGUGUAGCGGUGAAAUGCGCAGAUAUCAGGAGGAACACCGGUGGCGAAGGCGGUUCUCUGGGCAUUAACUGACGCUGAGGAGCGAAAGCAUGGGGAGCGAACAGG